rnacentral:misc_RNA from 1 species
UGAAUAUUGACGGAUCGCUAGACUUGUCCUUGUAUUUCAAUAAACCUGAACUUGUAAGGUUUUCUGUGCUGGAGAACCUCUGAUUUCCAAUAUCAUGAACAUAACUUUUUAUUUCCAUUGUGGAAAGAGGUGAUGAAAGGUGCUGUUUAACAUAAAUUACAUCUUUACCACCAAUAGUUACAGAUGUAAUUAUGUGAGUCCCAAAAUUUUCAAUGAAGCUUGCUAAUGCGGGUGGGUCCCAA